UACGUAGGGGGCAAGCGUUGUCCGGAAUCAUUGGGCGUAAAGCGCGUGUAGGCGGCCCGAUAAGUCCGCUGUGAAAGUCCAGGGCUCAACCCUGGAAUGCCGGUGGAUACUGUCGGGCUCGAGUCCGGAAGAGGCGAGUGGAAUUCCGUGGUGUAGCGGUGAAAUGCGCAGAUAUCAGGAGGAACACCGAUGGCGAAGGCAGGUCUCUGGGCCAUAACUGACGUGAGAAGCGAAAGCAUGGGGAGCGAAACAGG
rnacentral:rRNA from 1 species